AAGGUGACACAGCGGGAGAGCUGGACUUCAGCGGGCUGCUCAAGAAGAGGUGAGCUAUGGGGCGCUAUGGGGCACGCUAUGGGGCAUGCUAUGGGGCACGCUAUGGGGUCUCUAUGGGGUCUCUAUGGGGUCGCAGUGGGGCACACUAUGGGGCAUGCUAUGGGGUCGCUGUGGGGCACGCUAUGGGGACUGUAUGGGGUCACUGUGGGGCACACUAUGGGGUCUCUAUGGGGUCGCUGUGGGACACGCUAUGGGGCACACUAUGGGGUCUCUGUGGGGUCUCUGUGGGGUCUCUAUGAUUCCUGAUGGGUCCCUAUGGGUCUCUAUGGGUCUCUAUGGGUCCCUAUGUGUCCCUAUGUGUCCCCAUGUGUCCCCAUGUGUCCCUAUGGGUCCCUAUGGGUCUCUAUGGGUCCCUAUGUGUCUCUAUGGGGUCCCUAUGGGUCCCUAUGGGUCCCUAUGAUUCCCUAUGAUUCCCAAUGGGUCCCUAUGGGGUCCCAAUGGGGUCUCUAUGGGUCCCUAUGGGUCCCUAUGGGUCUCUAUGAUUCCCAAUGGGUCCCUAUGGGUCCCUAUGAUUCCCAAUGGGUCCCUAUGGGUCCCUAUGAUUCCCAAUGGGUCCCUAUGGGUCUCUAUGGGGUCUCUAUGGGUCCCUAUGGGUCUCUAUGGGGUCCCUAUGGGUCCCUAUGGGUCCCUAUGGGUCCCUAUGGGGUCUCUAUGGGUCGCUAUGGGUCUCUAUGAUUCCCAAUGGGUCCCAAUGGGUGUCUAUGAUUCCCAGUGGGUCCCGAUGGGUCCCUAUGAUUCCCAAUGGGUCCCUAUGGGUCUCUAUGGGGUCUCUAUGGGUUGCUAUGGGUCUCUAUGAUUCCCAAUGGGUCCCUAUGGGUCCCUAUGGGUCCCUAUGAUUCCCAAUGGGUCCCUAUGCGUCUCUAUGGGGUCCCUAUGGGUCCCUGUGGGUCCCUAUGUUUCCCAAUGGGUCCCUAUGGGUCCCUAUGGGUCCCUAUGAUUCCCAAUGGGUCCCUAUGGGUCCCUAUGAUUCCCAAUGGGUCCCUAUGGGUCCCUAUGAUUCCCAAUGGGUCCCUAUGGGUCCCUAUGGGUCCCAAUGGGUUGCUAUGGGUCCCUAUGAUUCCCAAUGGGUCCCUAUGGGUCCCUAUGAUUCCCAAUGGGUCCCU
rnacentral:lncRNA from 1 species